AUGAGGGAGCAGCAUGGCACAGAACGCUAGGUCGAACUGGGGGCAUAGCUGGGAUGAGGAGAGAAAACAACCUAAUGGAGUAGAGGAAGCAUCUGGGACAGUGUGAGCUGGGGAGAGAACGUGGGGUCAGAUUAUAAAAGGUCUUAAAAAAUAGGCAGGGAGUUUGUAUGUUUAAAACCAUCAGUCCUGGUGCUGGAAGGAACCAAAGAGGUCAUCUUUCCUAGCUCACAGAUUUCAGGCAGGAAAGAUGCUCCCUUCUUAAUAUAAAACAAACAGCUGAGGCUCAGAGAUUUGGUUAGAGAUGGAGGGUAAGCUAGAAUUAUGGUUUCUUGCUUCCUCAUUUGAUGCUUGUUAUAGCUCAUCGCACCGAACUUGACUUGCCCUUCAGAAUAAAAAAUAACUGUUUUGCCUAACAAGCUGUCUUAUUUUUAUAGGCUGUUACUAUUUAAAACUGCUUCACAUUUCUAAAGUGCCAACAAGGAAUCACAGGUUCUUAAGGAGAAUUUCUUGGCAGUGACAUAAUAAAAGCAUUUCAGAAGGAUGAGCCUGUCAAAAGCAUUCUAAAUAGAUCAUUAAGAGAGAGAGACUGGAGUGAGGAAAGGGGGACAAAUAAAAGAGGCCCCCGAGAUGCCCUGGAAACGGGGCCCAGAGGCAAGGCAAGAAUUCCAGAUGAUGCCAGAAGAAGGCUGAGCCACUGACAGAACUGGGGAGGACCAGAACGAGAGCCAGCUCUGAUGGAAAAGAUUCUACAUUUAGGGGAAGGAGGCUGAUGUUUAGGAGGAGGCUGAAGAUAGAAGACUAGACAUCUGUGUGAGGUUGAUGCUGGAAACAGAUUUAGGCAUCAUUAAUGCCGAGAUAAAGAUAGAAGCUAUGAAAAAGGAUGAGUACACCAAGGGUGAGAGUCUUAUGAGAAAACUCAAGGUGGAAGGUGAACGGCCGGGCGCUGGGGACAGGGGAGCAGGAUGUUCGGCUGAGGAAAGAAGGAGGUGACGAGAGAACAGAAGAAUUCCAAAGGGCAGGGUCACAGAAAUCCAGGCGGCAGUGGCCUGGAGCAGAAAAGCAGCGUUCGGCAGCACUGAAUGUUCAACGACAGGCGCCGAGGAGGGAACAGGAGGGCAGAAAACAGGAGACCGAAAGCAUUAAGACGACGGCGAGCAACCUUCCAGAAACAAAAUGCAGACCCGGGCAGGCAUUUCAGAAGACCCGAGACCACGUGGCCAGUGUUCCUUUCUUUCCCCUUGGUCGGCUGUUGGGCUUUCCUUGCUGGCUCUGCAGGAGCCUGAGCUUCAGCGCAUCCCCAGAGGACUGCAGAGCACCGUCCAAAACCAAUGGAAAAGUGACGUGAACCCGGCCAUGAGGUAAUGCCGUGGAAAAGCCCUGUGCUAGGGCUGCUUUACGAGAACCACCUCCUGACACAUCUGGCACUGCAAGCCCAAUAGGACGCACCGGGAGGGAUUUUUGUUUGUCGGAGGAAAGGAAAAAAAAAAAAAAAAAAGAAUUCUGGCCUUGACCCAGACUGACUGCUGUGUCCAGCCUGGAAAGCAGCAGGUGGGGAUCCUGCUGCCUGGGUUGCAACAAAGGGCAGCACCUGUAGGUCGGACGAAGGGGCCAGCGAGGACCCAGGGCCAGCUUGGAGCAGGAGCGAAGACAGGCCAGCCUCCAGCCAGCUUUCUGUAUGUGGGGAGUCUUCAGGGGAAUAGGCCAAAUCAUGCCGUCUGCUUUCUCCAAAGCCCAAACACAGCAAAUCCCUAGUAACACAUUUAAAGAGGUCUGUCCGCUCCCCAUGAAGUCAGCCUGAACUUUGGAACCAGUCUAGGGUUCAAAUCUAGACUCACCCCAUGGGACGUCGAGGAGUGCUGGGGGGAGCUGGAGGGGCUCUAUCCCCCCCUCCGAGGGCUCCCACCAGCCACCCCAAGGACGAAAGAAAAAUAGCACCACCUCUAUCAACACUGUAAAAGGCUAGGGCCAAAUGCAUCAUUAGGAAAAUGCAAAAGAGGUGGCUUUGAACUUGGUGAGACAUCAUGAGCAGAGCUCACCCUCCCGAGCUGCAGAAACUUAUGGACAAAAAGUGACUGUUGAAAUUAAAUGGAGAACAGACUUGUGGUUACCCAGGGGGAGGAGGAGGGAGUGGGAUGAGCUGGGAGCCUGGGGUUGGUAGAGGCAAACGACUGCAUUUGGAGCGCGUGAGCCAUCAGGACCUACUGUACGGAGACCUGUGUCCAGUCUCUUGGGAUAGAACACGAUGGGGGGAUAAUAUGAGAAAAAGAAUGUAUAUAUGUGUAUGACUGGGUCACUCUGCUGUACAGCAGAAAGUGGCACAGCACUGUAAGUCAACUAUACUUUAAUAAAAAAACAAAAAGAGUUCCCGUUGUGGCUCA
rnacentral:lncRNA from 1 species